UUAGUACAACGUCAAUAUGGAUCCAAGCCCAGAUUCCAAAAAAAAUGGUGACUGAUCAACCUUUGGUUUAUUAUGGCCUCCAUAGAAUCCACCUCUGAUUUACAUAAACUUGUCUUAGAUAUUGAGGCCCCCAUACAUUUCAUAUAAUUACACAAGAGUAUUUUCACC